rnacentral:rRNA from 1 species
GAUGAACGCUGGCGGCGUGCCUAAUACAUGCAAGUCGAGCGAACAGACGAGGAGCUUGCUCCUCUGACGUUAGCGGCGGACGGGUGAGUAACACGUGGAUAACCUACCUAUAAGACUGGGAUACUUCGGGAAACCGGAGCUAAUACCGGAUAAUAUAUUGAACCGCCUGGUUUAAUAGUGAAAGACGGUUUUGCUGUCACUUAUAGAUGGAUCCGCGCCGCAUUAGCUAGUUGGUAAGGUAACGGCUUACCAAGGCAACGAUGCGUAGCCGACCUGAGAGGGUGAUCGGCCACACUGGAACUGAGACACGGUCCAGACUCCUACGGGAGGCAGCAGUAGGGAAUCUUCCGCAAUGGGCGAAAGCCUGACGGAGCAACGCCGCGUGAGUGAUGAAGGUCUUCGGAUCGUAAAACUCUGUUAUUAGGGAAGAACAAAUGUGUAAGUAACUAUGCACGUCUUGACGGUACCUAAUCAGAAAGCCACGGCUAACUACGUG